GACGAACGCUGGCGGCGUGCUUAACACAUGCAAGUCGAACGGAAAGGCCCUGCUUUUGUGGGGUUCUCGAGUGGCGAACGGGUGAGUAACACGUGAGUAACCUGCCCUUGACUUUGGGAUAACUUCAGGAAACUGGGGCUAAUACCGGAUAGGAGCUCCUGCUGCAUGGUGGGGGUUGGAAAGUUUCGGCGGUUGGGGAUGGACUCGCGGCUUAUCAGCUUGUUGGUGGGGUAGUGGCUUACCAAGGCUUUGACGGGUAGCCGGCCUGAGUGGGUGACCGGCAACAUUGGGACUGAGAUACGGCCCAGACUCCUACGGGAGGCAGCAGUGGAGAAUAUUGCACAAUGGGCGGAAGCCGGAUGCAGCAACGCCGCGUGCGGGAUGACGGCCUUCGGGUUGUAAACCGCUUUCGCCGGUGACGAAGCGUGAGUGACGGUAAUGGGUAAAGAAGCACCGGCUAACUACGUG
rnacentral:rRNA from 1 species